rnacentral:lncRNA from 1 species
GUAAACUGCCUUUAGUCUUUUCAAAAUAUUCAACUUCAUUUUCAUAAUUUGUUUUUUUUUUUGUUUCAUGGUGGAUUUUUUUGUACUCAUAUCUCAUUCUUAUAUGUAAUAGGCGUAAAGAAGUUUCAAGACAAAUCACUAAGUCUAAACGUACAACUCAACUGAUCUGUGCUGUUUCAUUUUAAAAAUGCUGGUCAUGACCCAAUGAAUUUAUUUCAUCUAGUAAAUUGGUAUGAAGACCUGCAGUUUGAAAAAUACUGUGUUAAAGAGUAGUGUAGUGUUCAGUACACACUGGCAUCAGUGGCUGUUAGAGAGGAAUAAAGAGUGUCUGUUAAUGCACUGAAUUGUUUAGGUAGUGUUCCAUUAAGAGAGUUUCUGCUGUAUUAAAAUUCUGUUGGAUUAAAUUUCUGGGUCAACCACUAGGCUUGGAAAUCUCAUUGCACUCAAGCUUUGGCUGUUAUAGUUUGAGUUUUUCAGAUACUGGGCCUGGGCCUAAAGCUCUCAAGCUUAGAGUCCGUGCUAAUUGCCUAUGAAGUUCACGUUACACAUGUAACUGACUAUAACUGAGCCAUUUUAAGGCCAUUUGAUUAUAUCCUUUUCUAAGGAUAAAACAAGGAGAUUGAUUGAUUAAAUGUCCACGCUAAUCUAAGAAAACACUUUUCCUAGUUUAUGACAAUGUCUAAGGCUUCUAAGAACCACCACUUAAGUUCUUAGUUAGCUCUGUUUUCUCUGCAAGCACACGGGACUUGAAAGAUAUUUGAUGGAGCCAGAGAAGGAUAUGGCAAGCAAGAAUAUUUGUUUAAGUUGAAAUCAAGAUCUUCCUCCUCCUUGGUAGAGGCUCCCAGAUACAAAGGAUACUGGGGGCUAUCCUGCUAGAAAGCAUAGUAGAAUCAGGUGAGUGUUUUCCUGGGUUGAUAGCUUUAUUUACCCUGAUCUGUAGGAAUAACUCUCAGGAAUUUACCUCUUUUCAAAAUACCUGUCAUUCAGGAAAGAUGAGGCCAGAGAAAGGAUAGAUUAUCUGUUGAGAAAUGUCUAGGAAUCCCUGCCUACAACUCAGGCACCUAUAUCCCUUUUUAAUGAGGGCACACACUAUGACUUCUUUCAUUUUUGAGGAUGUCAGCCCUGGACCCUUAGGUUUGAUGUGGAGAUGGCUGGGAAGCAGGGCUGGUAAGAGAUGUGCACUUAGGCAUAUUUCUUGGCUCCUCUAGCUGUUUUUCUGAAUCUUCUAAGGUGGAACUCCCUCCUGCAGUUAUUAUAGAGAUGACCCAAUAAUAUCAGAGAGAGGAGACAACCAAUUCUGCAAACAUGCCCUAAUGGGGGAGUCAUCACAGUUUUGUAGUCCCCAAAACUCAUGUCAUCAAUGUGACCAGAAUGACCGGACCCUCAGGGACGGAUUCAUCUAGCCAGACUUGCUGAAGACUCAUGAGCGAACAGAACUCCAGUUCAUGAUGGAGACAUUUAUCUCUGGUGACCAAAAAACUCUAUGAUUGUUCUCCAGGACCCCCAUGGCUAAAUCCUGGGUACCUGGGGAAUCAUGCUAGUAACCAGAAAGUUGUUUGGUGAUCGCAAGAUCACGAAAGAGAAAUGUCUAGUGUUAUGGGUUGAAUUGUGUCCCUUCCAAAUUCAUAUGUUAAUGUCCUAACCCCUAGUACCUCAGAAUGUGACCUUAUUUGGAAAUAGACUUGUAGCAGAUAUAAUUACAGCUGACCCUUGAACCAUGUGGGCAUUAGACAUGCCAACCUGCAUAGUUAAAAAUGCAUGUAUAACUUCUACUCCCCCAAAACUUAGCUACAAAUAGCCUACUGUCAACCCAAAGCCUUACCAAUAACAGAAACAGUGGAUUAACACAUAUUUUGUAUAUUUUAUGUAUUACAUACAAUGAUCUUACGAUAAAGUAAGUUAGAAAGUGUCAAGAAAAUCAUAAGGAAAAUACAUUUAUAGUACUGUACUGUAUUUAUUGAUACCGUAAGUUUGCAUCACCUGUCUACAAGAUGAAUUGUCUGUCUGAAUUGGCAGCAACAGCAACUGCAGACCUCAAUCUAUAGUGCAUAUCAAGCAAUUCAGCUUUUUGUUGUAAACUCAUAACUUUUCUCUGCUUCUUGGGAGCACUUCAAGCAUCACUAGUGGCACUUUGCAUGGGUCCCAUGGUGUUAUUCAAAGUUUAUAGUAUUGCACUAAACACGUUGAAAAAUAUGUGAGAACUGACAGAGAUCACUUUUUACUGCAAUAUGCAAUUUACUGGAGAGAUGAACUGCUCAUGCGGAGAUGAUGAGCGUCACAUGGCAUUUUAAGUGGAUACUCACAACACUUGAGCUUACCGCAAUAACAACAGGAAGUGGCUAUGAAAUUAUUACAGUAGUACAAUAUUACUACAGUUAAUUUUACGCAGUUAUGAUUUAAUACUGCAUCUUUACAUUUGUUUACAUUUCUCUCAACUUUGAAUGGCUCCCCA